rnacentral:rRNA from 1 species
UACGAAGGGGGCUAGCGUUGCUCGGAAUCACUGGGCGUAAAGGGUGCGUAGGCGGGUCUUUAAGUCAGGGGUGAAAUCCUGGAGCUCAACUCCAGAACUGCCUUUGAUACUGAAGAUCUUGAGUCCGGGAGAGGUGAGUGGAACUGCGAGUGUAGAGGUGAAAUUCGUAGAUAUUCGCAAGAACACCAGUGGCGAAGGCGGCUCACUGGCCCGGUACUGACGCUGAGGCACGAAAGCAUGGGGGAGCGAACGGG